UACGGAGGAUGCGAGCGUUAUCCGGAUUUAUUGGGUUUAAAGGGUGCGUAGGCGGACUGUCAAGUCAGCGGUAAAAUUGAGAGGCUCAACCUCUUCCCGCCGUUGAAACUGGUGGUCUUGAGUGGAUGAGAAGUACGCGGAAUGCGUGGUGUGGCGGUGAAAUGCAUAGAUAUCACGCAGAACUCCGAUUGCGAAGGCAGCGUACCGGCAUCCAACUGACGCUGAGGCACGAAAGCGUGGGGAUCAAACAGG
rnacentral:rRNA from 1 species